CGAUGCCGCUUAGCGGUCGUUUACCGGAAUCCAGCUGCUCUGCUAUCCUGCUAUGGUGUUUCCAGACGCUGGUUAGGAAGGGUACGUUGUUACCAGUUUGUGUCCCAGGUUUGAGGCUGUGCUGAUUUGUGGUCAGGGACCCGACUCUCCACGGCUUGCAAGGUUUGAUGCAGGGCUGAGGUUUGUCCUUUGAUAUUUCCCACCUCCGUGCUGCUGGUGGCUUCUUUGGGC